GCACAAUGGGCGCAAGCCUGAUGCAGCCAUGCCGCGUGUGUGAAGAAGGCCUUCGGGUUGUAAAGCACUUUCAGUCAGGAGGAAAGGUUAGUAGUUAAUACCUGCUAGCUGUGACGUUACUGACAGAAGAAGCACCGGCUAACUCCGUGCCAGCAGCCGCGGUAAUACGGAGGGUGCGAGCGUUAAUCGGAAUUACUGGGCGUAAAGCGUACGCAGGCGGUUUGUUAAGCGAGAUGUGAAAGCCCCGGGCUCAACUUGGGAACUGCAUUUCGAACUGGCAAACUAGAGUGUGAUAGAGGGUGGUAGAAUUUCAGGUGUAGCGGUGAAAUGCGUAGAGAUCUGAAGGAAUACCGAUGGCGAAGGCAGCCACUUGGGUCAACACUGACGCUCAUGUACGAAAGCGUGGGGAGCAAACAGGAUUAGAUACCUUGGUAGUCCACGCCGUAAACGAUGUCUACUAGAAGCUCGGAGCCUCGGCUCUGUUUUUCAAAGCUAACGCAUUAAGUGAC
rnacentral:rRNA from 1 species